rnacentral:rRNA from 1 species
AGAGUUUGAUCCUGGCUCAGGACGAACGCUCGCGGCGUGCCUAAUGAAUGUGAGUCGAACGAGAACCGGCCGGCUUCUUCGGAAAUCGGCCGGGGAGAGUGGCGAACGAGUGAGUAACACGUGGGCAACGUGCCCCGGAGACAGGGAUAACGGCGGGAAACUGCUGCUAAUACCUGAUAUGCUCGCAGGAUGUCAUGUCUUUGCGAGGAAAGGACCUCCGCUCCGGGAUCGGCCCGCGGACCAUUAGUUAGUUGGUGGGGUAACGGCCUACCAAGACUGCGAUGGUUAGCCGGCCUGAGAGGGUGACCGGCCACACUGGGACUGAGACAUGGUCCAGACUCCUACGGGAGUUAGCAACAGGGAAUCUUGCACAAUGAGCGCAAGCUCGAUGCAGCGACGCCGCGUGGGUGAUGAAGGCCUUACGGGUCGUAAAGCCCUGUCAGGAGGGACGAAUGCCCGGCAAUCUGUCGGGAGCGACGGUACCUCCAAAGGAAGCCCCGGCUAACUACGUGCCAGCAGCCGCGGUAAAACGUAGGGGGCGAGCGUUGUCCGGAAUUAUUGGGCGUAAAGAGCGCGUAGGCGGCAUAGUAAGUGGCAGGUGAAAUCCCGAGGCUCAACCUCGGAACUGCUUGCCAAACUGCUAAGCUAGAGUGCGGGAGAGGAGAGCGGAAUUCCUGGUGUAGCGGUGAAAUGCAUAGAUAUCAGGAGGAACACCCGUGGCGAAGGCUGCUCUCUGAACGUUACUGACGCUGAGGCGCGAAAGCUAGGGGAGCGAACGGGAUUAGAUACCCCGGUAGUCCUAGCCGUAAACGAUGGUCACUAGGUGUUGGGGGCAUCGACCCCCCCAGUGCUGCUAUGUUAACGCGCUAAGUGACCCGCCUGGGGAGUACGACCGCAAGGUUGAAACUCAAAGGAAUUGACGGGGGCCCGCACAAGCGGUGGAGCAUGUGGGUCAAUAUGAUGCAACGCGUAGAACCUUACCAGGGCUAGACAACAGAUGACCGUCAGGGAAACCUGUACUUCCUGGGCAACCAGGCAUCUGGCUUCAGGUGGUGCAUGGCUGUCGUCAGCUCGUGUCGUGAGAUGUUGGGUUAAGUCCCGCAACGAGCGCAACCCCCAUCAGAUGUUGCCAUCGGGUAAUGCCGGGCACUCUUCUGAAACUGCCGGAGUAAUCCGGAGGAAGGCGGGGACGACGUCAAGUCUGCAUGCCCCUUACGUCCUGGGCUGCACACGUGCUACAAUGGCCGGUACAAAGGGUUGCCAAACCGCGAGGUGGAGCCAAUCCCAUAAAACCGGUCCCAGUUCGGAUCGGAUGUCUGCAACUCGACUCCGUGAAGGUGGAAUCGCUAGUAAUCGUGGAUCAGCAACGCCACGGUGAAUACGUUCCCGGGCCUUGUACACACCGCCCGUCAAGUCACAAAAGCUGGCAGCGCCCGAAGCCGGUGUUGGAACCCUUCGGGGACCUAGCUGUCGAAGGUGAGGCCAGUGAUUUGGACUAAGUCGUAACAAGGUA